UACGUAGGCAGCGAGCGUUGUUCGGAGUUACUGGGCGUAAAGGGUGCGUAGGCGGCGGGGAAAGUCUGAUGUGAAAUCCUGGGGCUCAACCCUGGAACUGCAUUGGAUACUUCCUUGCUAGAGUACUGGAGAGGAAACUGGAAUUUACGGUGUAGCAGUGAAAUGCGUAGAGAUCGUAAGGAAGACCAGUGGCGAAGGCGAGUUUCUGGACAGUUACUGACGCUGAGGCACGAAGGCCAGGGGAGCAAACGGG
rnacentral:rRNA from 1 species